rnacentral:lncRNA from 1 species
AAGGAAUGCCAGAUGGAAUCAACAGAGUGGAAAGACCAAGAGGUAGAUUCUGUGUGGAAUACUCAUGGCAAGAUAUGCACUGCAUGAGAAGAUUAUGCUCUCUAUGUUCUCUGGUCAGGACAACACAGAGUUUCGGGGUACAUGAAAUGUCUUUCAUAUUCAGUUCCAGCAUUUGUUCUGAAUGGACUCCUUGUCUCUCAAUUGCAUCCAUUUUGAAAUCAAGAUUAAUUACCUGCUCAGGAUUUCCCUUCUCAAGAAAGGAGCCCUUGGUUGUGGGGCAAGUUGGGCAAAACUGUCACCAGCUCAGAGGUAAGAGAGAGUGUCUUAUAGCAAACACGCUGACAAGAAGAACACAGUUUCUUUUAUUGAUUUAUUUAUUUAUUUUUUAAGAAAUGACUUACACAGGGUCACACAGCUAGCAAGUGUCUGAGGCCAGAUUUGAACUCAGGUUGUCCUGAUUCUAGGGCAGGUUGCUCUACUCACUGGGUCACCUAACUGCCACAAGGACAUGAUUUCCAGUUGUGGUACCUGUCAGUGGCUUGGGGGCACCUUGGCCUUUGGAAAGUCAACUGGGCUUUAGUAAGCUUCUUUACUGCGUGCACCUAGGACCUCGUCCUUUUGGUGACCUUGAUUCAAGCAGGUGACAUAGCAGUCUACUAAAUCUACAAGACUCUCCCAUAAUCAUUCAGUCAGUUAAUAAGAAAUUAUUUCUGUGUCCAAGGUACUAUGGUAAGGUCUGGGGAUAGAAGGGCAAAAAACACAAUCC